AACGAACGCUGGCGGCAUGCCUAAAACAUGCAAGUCGAACGAGACCUUCGGGUCUAGUGGCGCACGGGUGCGUAACGCGUGGGAACCUGCCCUUAGGUUCGGAAUAACUCCCCGAAAGGGGUGCUAAUACCGGAUAAUGUCUUCGGACCAAAGAUUUAUCGCCUUUGGAUGGGCCCGCGUUGGAUUAGCUAGUUGGUAGGGUAAAAGCCUACCAAGGCGACGAUCCAUAGCUGGUCUGAGAGGAUGAUCAGCCACACUGGGACUGAGACACGGCCCAGACUCCUACGGGAGGCAGCAGUGGGGAAUAUUGGACAAUGGGCGAAAGCCUGAUCCAGCAAUGCCGCGUGAGUGAUGAAGGCCUUAGGGUUGUAAAGCUCUUUUACCCGGGAUGAUAAUGACAGUACCGGGAGAAUAAGCCCCGGCUAACUCCGUG
rnacentral:rRNA from 1 species